GGCUGUGAUCUACUUCACCAUUGAGAUGGUAAAGGGUCUUCGGAGUAUCAUUUCAAUACUAAAGGGUCAGAUUGCCAAUGAAAGAGAAGACAAGAAGUUUCUCAUUCAACGACUUCAUAUUAUAUAUGAAAAAUGAAAGUACAACAGGGUGAAAAUGAGAUCCAUUUUCCCUUAGCAUCUUUACCAGCGAAUGUACCAAGUGAACCUUUCACUGAAGGACUUCUUAGGAAAAGGAAAAUAGAUAUGGGACUAUCCAGAAAAGGUUUGAUGAACAUGUCCAUGCUGCUGAAGACAACUGACGUUGACUCCCUUCCCUUCCUGCAUGUGAAUGUCAUCUACCUUUAGUUGAAGAAGUUAUAUUCUAACUAAGAGCUUCUAGACUUCCUGAAGAUUUUUACAGACAAUUUUUAUAAAAGAGAAUUCAAACUUAUAUUUUAUAAUGUGCAAUGGCCUAAGUACUUUGUUUUGCCAGGAUUAUGAAAUCUAUGACCUCAUGUGGAAGGUGUACAGUUACUGGAAUGAAAUCUUUCUUAUAAAUAACCUCAUGGCUUAAUAUUAUUAAAAACGAUUGUCUUUAAAAAGCUCUCUAGUUAACUAAGAGUAAAUUAUAUUCCCUUUUAAUUCAUUUGCUAUUAAUUGCCUAAGUGAUGGUGAACAGUUGUCAUUUGUUAAGUUCUCAGAGUGUGCAGUUACUCAAAGAUGGUUGUGCAUGCCUACAUUUUAACUUCUAUCCUUCGAAUAUAUUUUCACUUCAGGCGUGAGCACUAAUCUGUAGAGGAAAUCUUAACUCUUUGCUACCUCAUCUUUUAUUUUCUUUGUGGAAUUAAGGUGUGCAGUUAUGGGCCAUUUUUCACAAUUUCUAUGUUCCAGACAGUAAAUAAAAACUGCAACUUUCUUUUUAGAAUUGUCUGACCCACAAGAGUCAGGAAACACUUCAGCUUCCUGACGUUUCCAGAUUCCAACUUCAAUCAUGCAGGGUGGAUUGAAACCACUUCAUUAUAUCAGAUAAGCCCCUGCCAUCUCGUGCACUGAUCUCAACCACAGUGAUAACCUGUUUGGCGCAAGCAAUGAUAUCUUGGAUUCGGAAUAAUGACUUCAUCUCCACCAGGGACAUGUAGCAUGGAACGCCAAUUGUGUCUCUCAGCACCACCAGAUCUGGCAGAACGGAUAUUCUCCAAAUCCCAUUGAUUAAAGAGCAUCACUUGGCAGGACCCAAGAGAAUGUGUCAUCUUGUAGCAUUGCCUGCCCUUUUGGUGCAUCGUUCCUCCCAAUAUUAGAUCAUCCCAAACCUAGCUAGUUUCUGCAGAGUCUUUAAGAUCUGGCUUUUUUUUUUCAGAUACCCGAAAGAGCCAAGAGAGCGAGAGGGAUGAGGCACACAAGGGACAACCAAAAGAACACCCUAUCAAUUUCAUUAAAGUUCAAAGGAUAGAACCCAUUCCAGAACUACAACUAAUAAUACGAUUGUGCUGUCUUACACAAACUUCAGGUGAUGCCACAGUGUUUCAACUAAGUUAAUGUCACAGCUUUAAUUUGGAUAUUCCAAAGUUCAGUUUCCUCUGCUUCAGUCAUUUUAAUGUAGAUUUAUAUGUAUUUUACUAUUGUUUUGUUGCAUGAUCCACAUUCAUUUAAGCAUCAGCUCAUGGACAGAUACCCUGCCAUUUUCCUAAUAAAUUUGCUGAUACAGCCCAAAAUUUGGUUUUUUUCAAUUAUUGCAAGGUGAAAGCAGUCCUAUUCUGUUAGAAUGCAGUAUGAAAUCCACAAAAAUCUUUCGAGCUCAUAAUUCAUUUCUACAAACCUGUGUCAACCAACUUUUUAUUUUAUUAAUUUAUUUAAUAAAUUAAUAAAAAUUAAUUUAAUUAAUUUUUAUUUAAUUGAGAAGAGUCCCUCAAACUCAAACCUCAAUUGUCAUCAAAGUAAUUGAAACAUUUAAUUCAAUUUGAGUUGAUUAUCCUAGAUUUCACAUAUUUUCCCCAGCAGAGAUAUUAAAUACUGAUUGAAUGUUCUAUAAAAACAUGACACAGUGCAGUUUUCAGUAUUGUUUGUUUAGUAUAAGUGUAAAGGUACUAGGCUAGAAACCAUGAGAUCUAGUUUUGCCUUAGACAUGAAGCCAACUUGGUGCCUUUGGGCAGUCAUUCUCUUAGACCUAGAAGAAGGCAAGGAUAAACCACUUCUGAAAAUCUUGCCAAAAAACAAGGGAUUAGUUUAGGUAAUUGCCAGGAGAAAAGGCCUGAAGGCAUAGAAAAACAGCUUUUUCAAUUGUUUACUGAAAAAUACAAAUCUAAGCAUACAUCAUGUGGUAUUCUAAAUUGCACCUACUAUUAAUCUACUAGCCUAGCAAAAUAUAUUCAAUACCUAAACAGUACACCAUGGCCAUUCCCUCAGCAAUUUGUACAGUUUGACUAACAAUACUCUGCCAGCCAGCUUGUCAGCCAUCAGACAGGCUGUGGGGAAAACAGCCUAAUGCAGAAGGCAUAUACCUCACUCUUCCCCUAUAAUACUGAGAAAAAGGGAGGGAGAACAGAAAAUUCUGUUUAAGAGUAUGUAUAUAAAAAUGUAUGGAUGAACAUGAAUCUCCUAAUCCUGUUUUCCACUGCCUCAUAUAUUGUACCUACCAGCUCCAAUUAUUUAUGUGGGCUCAAUUCUAUACACCAAUCAACCCUGAUCUAUUCAAGCAACAGUGCUCAAAGAAUUUCUUUCACUGGAAUUCUUUUCACUAAAACUAGUGAAGCAAA